rnacentral:rRNA from 1 species
UACGUAGGGUGCAAGCGUUAAUCGGAAUUACUGGGCGUAAAGCGUGCGCAGGCGGUUAUUUAAGUCAGCUGUGAAAUCCCCGGGCUCAACCUGGGAAUGGCAGUUGAGACUGGAUAGCUGGAGUGUGUCAGAGGGGGGUAGAAUUCCACGUGUAGCAGUGAAAUGCGUAGAGAUGUGGAGGAAUACCGAUGGCGAAGGCAGCCCCCUGGGAUAACACUGACGCUCAUGCACGAAAGCGUGGGGAGCAAAC